UACGGGGGGGGCAAGCGUUGUUCGGAAUUACUGGGCGUAAAGGGCUCGUAGGGGGCCAACUAAGUCAGACGUGAAAUCCCUCAGCUUAACUGGGGAACUGCGUCUGAUACUGGAUGGCUUGAGUUUGGGAGAGGGACGCGGAAUUCCAGGUGUAGCGGUGAAAUGCGUAGAUAUCUGGAGGAACACCGGUGGCGAAGGCGGCGUCCUGGACCAACACUGACACUGAUGAGCGAAAGCCAGGGGAGCAAACGGG
rnacentral:rRNA from 1 species